UACGUAGGGGGCGAGCGUUGUCCGGAAUCAUUGGGCGUAAAGAGCGUGUAGGCGGCUUGGCAAGUCUGACGUGAAAGCCCGCGGCUCAACCGCGGAUUGUCGUUGGAAACUGCCUCGCUAGAGUCCGGAAGAGGAGAGCGGAAUUCCUGGUGUAGCGGUGGAAUGCGCAGAUAUCAGGAAGAACACCCGUGGCGAAGGCGGCUCCUCUGGGACGGUACUGACGCUGAGACGCGAAAGCGUGGGGAGCGAACAGG
rnacentral:rRNA from 1 species